UACGGAGGGUGCAAGCGUUGUCCGGAAUCACUGGGCGUAAAGGGCGCGUAGGCGGCUCAUGAAGGCUGUGGUGAAAGUCCGGGGCUCAACCUCGGAUCGGCCGUGGCGACUCGUGGGCUGGAGCACUGUAGAGGCAGGUGGAAUUCCGGGUGUAGCGGUGGAAUGCGUAGAGAUCCGGAAGAACACCGGUGGCGAAGGCGGCCUGCUGGGCAGUUGCUGACACUGAGGCGCGACAGCGUGGGGAGCAAACAGG
rnacentral:rRNA from 1 species